rnacentral:lncRNA from 1 species
UGACUCGAGCCGAGCGCCGGGGGGGCGGGGUGCAGCGGCGCCGCGGGAGGAGCUGGGCGCGGAGCGCGGCCCCUUCCCUGCGGGCGCGCGGCCAGGUUACAGCCACGCUCAGGAGCCUCUUGGGAAAAGCCCAAAAGUCCCCAUUUUGCAGAAAGCCUGCUGGGAUGUGGUGGGACCCCGCGGCGAGAGAAACCCCGGGAGGCCUCGAAAGCCCUGGCUUCCAGGGCCCCACCCUGCCUGGGCAAGGCCUCCCGCGCUCCGGGGCCCGCACUUCCGGCCCCCGCGGGUUCCCUGACCUGCGCUACCGGGCACUUCCGCCGCCAGACACGUGGCCCCGGGGCCUGGAGGAGGCUGCUGGAAGGCCCGGCUCUAGCAGUUGGGGCCUUCACCUGUCCCCGUUAUUUCGUCGCAAGCCCCUGUGGGAAGUGGUGCCGAGGAGGGCCAGAGGGCCUUCACCAGUUUCUGUACUUAGGAGGCAUGGCCUGCAACAAAUGUCGAAAGAAUUACUGAGUGAAUCUGCUGCCUCUUUGGGCAUAUGGUGUGGGAAUUACAUUGAAAUGAUAAAAUCAACAGUGAUCCUUGAAAGGAGCAAGAGCCACAGUACUCCUGAAAUGUGUAGCAGCAAUACAGGUGCUACCUAUGAAACAGGACAGAGGUUUCUCACUGGCCAGCACUAUGAAGGUUGAUGGCAUCAUCAUUCACUCCACAUCAAAGGAUAUCUACUCAUCAGUGUGCUGUUGUCAGUCAGAGGUUUCCAAAUAUGUGUUCCCCAACUCAAAGAAAAGUAGCUGGAUCCAGGCAGAAAGGUGUCUGGGAACUCCUUUACUGUGCAGGGUGUGUCUCCAGAGAAAGCUGCUUCAGCAUUCUUCUCGAUCUUUGUUUUCGGAAUACUUUUCCCUACAGUAUUCUCCAGACUCUAAAAUACUAGAAUAGUUCCCAAGUUCAUCCAGAUCUUUCCCAUGGUUGAAUUCUUGGUCCUUUUUCCACCCCCUGGCUUACAUGUAGAUGAAAAAUAAACAACAAUAAAGGAAUAAAAAUUGUUUGUUU